CCUACGGGGGGCAGCAGUGAGGAAUAUUGGUCAAUGGACGAGAGUCUGAACCAGCCAAGUAGCGUGAAGGAUGACUGCCCUAUGGGUUGUAAACUUCUUUUAUAUGGGAAUAAAACAGGGUAUGCAUACCCUCUUGUAUGUACCAUAUGAAUAAGGAUCGGCUAACUCCGUGCCAGCAGCCGCGGUAAUACGGAGGAUCCGAGCGUUAUCCGGAUUUAUUGGGUUUAAAGGGAGCGUAGGUGGAGGCACAAGUCAGCGGUAAAAUCGCGGGGCUCAACCCCGCUCCGCCGUUGAAACUGUGUCCCUUGAGUGCGCGAAGGGUAGGCGGAAUGCGUGGUGUAGCGGUGAAAUGCAUAGAUAUCACGCAGAACUCCGAUCGCGAAGGCAGCCUACCGGCGCGCAACUGACGCUCAUGCACGAAAGCGUGGGUAUCGAACAGGAUUAGAUACCCUUGUAGUC
rnacentral:rRNA from 1 species